CCUACGGGGUGCAGCAGUGAGGAAUAUUGGUCAAUGGACGAGAGUCUGAACCAGCCAAGUAGCGUGAAGGAUGACUGCCCUAUGGGUUGUAAACUUCUUUUAUAUGGGAAUAAAAUGUUCCACGUGUGGGAUUUUGUAUGUACCAUAUGAAUAAGGAUCGGCUAACUCCGUGCCAGCAGCCGCGGUAAUACGGAGGAUCCGAGCGUUAUCCGGAUUUAUUGGGUUUAAAGGGAGCGUAGGUGGAUUGUUAAGUCAGUUGUGAAAGUUUGCGGCUCAACCGUAAAAUUGCAGUUGAAACUGGCAGUCUUGAGUACAGUAGAGGUGGGCGGAAUUCGUGGUGUAGCGGUGAAAUGCUUAGAUAUCACGAAGAACUCCGAUUGCGAAAGCAGUUCACUGGACUGCAACUGACACUGAGGCUCGAAAGUGUGGGUAUCAAACAGGAUUAGAUACCCUUGUAGUC
rnacentral:rRNA from 1 species